CAUUAGUGAAUCUUCAAAGUCGGCUCGUUGGAUUGUGCUGGUGGGCAGCCACAUGUGCACAUCUGCGGGUCGCAAAUCCACACACCUGUGCAUCUAUGACUCUGAGCGCCGCUUUGCAUGGCCCUUGAUUGGACCUGGCACUCGAGUACUUUUCACACACUCUUGAAUGUAACGGAAUGUCAAUGUUGUGCAUAAUGUACAAACGAAACAACUUUCAACAACGGAUCUCUUGGCUCUCGCAUCGAUGAAGAACGCAGCGAAAUGCGAUAAGUAAUGUGAAUUGCAGAAUUCAGUGAAUCAUCGAAUCUUUGAACGCACCUUGCACCCUUUGGUAUUCCGAAGGGUACGCCCGUUUGAGUGUCAUUGUAAUCUCACUACCAUCGACUUUGGUCUUUUUGGUAUGUGGACUUGGAUGCUGCCGUUGAUGUCGACGGCUCGUCUGAAAUACCUGAGUGUACCCCSCUUUGCGGCGUAUUCGGUGUGAUACAUCUUCACCGGAGUUGAUCCUUGUGGUCGCGUCUGUAAUGGUGUGGCUCUAUGCUUCCAACCGUCUCUUUGGUUAGACAAUCUCUGACAAUUUG
rnacentral:rRNA from 1 species